UUAUGCUGGACAUGUUAGUUGCUGCUCUACAGACUAAAAGGCGCUAGUGACAUUGCGUUGGAAACCCUAUGCAUGCUCACAAAUUCUCGUUCAUUGGGGACAGUUUUCUGUGAGUUUUAUAGCAAAAGACGAGAACGAAUUUCUUCUAUAUGCCUUGUGAAGCCGGCGUUACAUGUUUAUAAAUGAGUUCAUUUAUUUACCUGGUGUUUUUACUUCUGGUGUCAGCUAGAUCAGCGGCAGGACGAAGAGAACACAGUGAAGGAAGAGGACCUGCUUCAGGUUGUUACAAAUAUCACGAAGUGCGCAAAAUGUGUGCGAGCAGCAACUGCGCAGAAGCAAAAUGCAGGAAGCCGACUAUUGGCCCCCGCUGUAGGAGGAACUGCGUGAGCGGGUGCUUUUGUGACAAAGGAUACUACAGGGAGGACGUCAGCGGAUUUAAAGAAUGCGUAGCAUGGAUCGAGUGUCCCUCCAAUUCAACACCACCUUUCAGCUGGUACCGUUGGAGAAAUUGGCGUAGCCUUUAUUAAAAAGCAUUUAAUAAAGCCGCGGUGUCCACGA